rnacentral:rRNA from 1 species
AACGAACGCUGGCGGCAUGCCUAAUACAUGCAAGUCGAACGAAGGCUUCGGCCUUAGUGGCGCACGGGUGCGUAACGCGUGGGAAUCUACCCUUGGGUUCGGAAUAACAGUUAGAAAUGACUGCUAAUACCGGAUGAUGACGUAAGUCCAAAGAUUUAUCGCCCAAGGAUGAGCCCGCGUAAGAUUAGCUAGUUGGUGAGGUAAAGGCUCACCAAGGCUACGAUCUUUAGCUGGUCUGAGAGGAUGAUCAGCCACACUGGGACUGAGACACGGCCCAGACUCCUACGGGAGGCAGCAGUAGGGAAUAUUGGACAAUGGGCGAAAGCCUGAUCCAGCAAUGCCGCGUGAGUGAUGAAGGCCUUAGGGUUGUAAAGCUCUUUUACCCGAGAUGAUAAUGACAGUAUCGGGAGAAUAAGCUCCGGCUAACUCCGUGCCAGCAGCCGCGGUAAU